rnacentral:rRNA from 1 species
CCUACGGGGGGCAGCAGUGGGGAAUAUUGGACAAUGGGGGCAACCCUGAUCCAGCCAUGCCGCGUGUGUGAAGAAGGCCCUCGGGUUGUAAAGCACUUUCAGUGAGGAAGAACGCCUGGUGGUUAAUACCCAUCAGGAAAGACAUCACUCACAGAAGAAGCACCGGCUAACUCCGUGCCAGCAGCCGCGGUAAUACGGAGGGUGCGAGCGUUAAUCGGAAUUACUGGGCGUAAAGCGCGCGUAGGUGGCUUGAUAAGCCGGUUGUGAAAGCCCCGGGCUCAACCUGGGAACGGCAUCCGGAGCUGUCAAGCUAGCGGGCAGGAGAGGAAGGUAGAAUUCCCGGUGUAGCGGUGAAAUGAGUAGAGAUCGGGAGGAAUACCAGUGGCGAAGGCGGCCUUCUGGACUGACACUGACACUGCGGUGCGAAAGCGUGGGUAGCAAACAGGAUUAGCUACCCCGGUAGUC